rnacentral:rRNA from 1 species
AACGAACGCUGGCGGCAUGCCUAACACAUGCAAGUCGAACGAGACCUUCGGGUCUAGUGGCGCACGGGUGCGUAACGCGUGGGAACCUGCCCUUAGGUUCGGAAUAACUCCCCGAAAGGGGUGCUAAUACCGGAUAAUGUCUUCGGACCAAAGAUUUAUCGCCUUUGGAUGGGCCCGCGUUGGAUUAGCUAGUUGGUAGGGUAAAAGCCUACCAAGGCGACGAUCCAUAGCUGGUCUGAGAGGAUGAUCAGCCACACUGGGACUGAGACACGGCCCAGACUCCUACGGGAGGCAGCAGUGGGGAAUAGUGGAAAAUGGGCGAAAGGCUGAUCCAGCAAUGCCGCGUGAGUGAUGAAGGCCUUAGGGUUGUAAAGCUCUUUUACCCGGGAUGAUAAUGACAGUACCGGGAGAAUAAGCGCCGGCUAACUACGUG